GUGUCUGACUCUUUGCGACCCCAUGGACUGCAGCAUGCCAGACCUCCCUGCCCAUUGCCAACUCCUGGGGCUGGCUGAAACUCAUUUGAAGCUGAGAAGACUGGAAGACAAUUGGCGUUUUCAUUUCAGAAUCAUCACUACUUGCUAGAAUUCCUUCCUAAAGUCCCACUGUUAAUACUUCAUGGUUAGAAAAAGAAU
rnacentral:lncRNA from 1 species